CAGAGUUAUCUAAACUCCCAAACCCAUGUGAACUUACCUAUGUUGCCUCGGCAGGGAACCUACCCGGUAGUUACCCGGUGGCUACCCGGUAGCUACCCCGUAAUUGCUGGGUAGACCUGCCGAAGGACCUUUUAAACUCUUGUUUUAUUGUGGCACUCUGAGUAACUAAAAAUAAAUAAGUUA
rnacentral:misc_RNA from 1 species